rnacentral:misc_RNA from 1 species
GAUGAAGAACGUAGCGAAAUGCGAUAAGUAAGUGAAUUGCAGAAUUCAGUGAAUCAUCGAAUCUUUGAACGCACAUUGCGCCCGCCAGUAUUCUGGCGGGCAUGCCUGUUCGAGCGUCAUUUCAACCAUCAAGCCCCCGGCUUGUGUUGGGGACCUGCGGCUGCCGCAGGCCCUGAAAACCAGUGGCGGGCUCGCUAGUCACUCCGAGCGUAGUAAUACAUCUCGCUCAGGGCGUGCUGCGGGUUCCGGCCGUUAAAAAGCCUUAUUUACCCAAGGUUGACCUCGGAUCAGGUAGGAAGACCCGCUGAACUUAAGCAUAUCAAUAAGCGGAGGA